AGAGUUUGAUCAUGGCUCAGAUUGAACGCUGGCGGUAGGCUUAACACAUGCAAGUCGUGCGAGAAAGUAUCUUCGGAUAUGAGUAGAGCGGCGGACGGGUGAGUAACGCGUAGGAAUCUACCUAGUAGAAGGGGAUAGCCCGGGGAAACCCGGAUUAAUACCGUAACCC
rnacentral:rRNA from 1 species